UCUUUAACUUCCUUUAUUUUCAUUGUAAAUAUUUUUUUAUAUAUCUUUAUCUCUGUUCAGAUGAAAAGGAUUUCUAAAAGGUGUCUGGCUUUAGAAUCUGGCCUGCAAAACAGAGCAGAGAUCUAUUGCGUUGAACCAUCAUUCCCAUGAUUCAUCAGAGCAUUAUAUCCAAGAGGAAGCAUGUUGCUCACUUUCAGUGCUCAGAGUUAAGAAACUCGAUGCAGAAUCGACAAUUUGGUUAAAACUUCCUGCUAAGGUGGCUGUUAAUUUUGGAUAGGAGGUGCAACCAUAAAUCAUCAGGAAAAACAAUACUUUAAAAAAUCAAACUGCAUCAGCAAUUAUCAUUAGUUCUACUAUAUCUCUGAAUUAGUAACCAAGCCCAGUUCCCUUAGGCAGAUCAAUCAUACUGUUAACAGGUUCCCAUGACACCAUCCCAUAGUAACCAGUCCCUAUCCAUUAUGCACAAAAUGCCACUGACUCUUCCCUU
ensembl:lncRNA